rnacentral:rRNA from 1 species
UACAGAGGGUGCGAGCGUUGUCCGGAAUCACUGGGCGUAAAGGGCGCGUAGGUGGCCUGGUAAGUAGGGGGUGAAAUCUCGCGGCUCAACUGCGAGGCUGCCUCCUAAACUGUCAGGCUCGAGCAGAGUAGAGGCAGGUGGAAUUCCCGGUGUAGCGGUGGAAUGCGUAGAGAUCGGGAAGAACAUCGGUGGCGAAGGCGGUCUGCUGGGCCGUUGCUGACGCUGAGGCGCGACAGCGUGGGGGAGCAAACAGG